GCCGGUGUAGCUCAGGGGUAGAGCGUUUCCUUGGUAAGGAAAAGGUCUCCAGUUCAAAUCUGGACAUUGGCU
rnacentral:tRNA from 2 species